GCCGAAGUGGCGGAAUUGGUAGACGCGCUGGAUUCAAAAUCCAGUUUUCGCAAGGGAGUGCGGGUUCGAUUCCCGCCUUCGGUA
rnacentral:tRNA from 1 species